CUUUUUUGCUAUCUGCGAUAUUCAAAGAUUCGAACCUGGCAGGUUCGAGUUGAGCGCAGCGAAACAACGGAGCCGCUCGCGGCGACGGCCCGAAGGGCGAGCGAAGCGAGUAAUCCUGCACGACCCACCA
rnacentral:sRNA from 1 species